AUUUUUCUUAGUACUCCAACACUAAAUUUCCCAAGCCUAUGGACAACAUAAAAAUGGAAGGCUUACCUAGGGCUCGAAUGGUAACAUUUUUCUUAAAUGUUUGUUAUUUUAUUUUUUUUACAUUAUAUUUCUUCUCAUAAUGUCGGAUUGUUAAUAUAGCCACAUAAAUUGUUGUUAAUCAUCAUCACUGCUUAUUAAAUAGUCUUUUGUUAAAUAAAAAGUAAUCAUAAACUAUUCUUUCAAGAGAGACUUGGAUAUAAAAUUAAGUUAAACGAGAAAAUAAUAUAUAGGGAUUAAAAUACUCUCGUCAAAAAUUCUAAAUCUAAUUUCAUUGUAAUCUCAUAUAUGCCAUGAUUUUCCACCAAAACUCGAAUUUAUUCGCAUAAAUUCUUCAAUGUGAAAGAUUGUUUACAUUUGUAGGUUAAUGAAUUUAGUUGAUAGAUAGUCCAAUUAUUAAGGGAUAUAAUUUCACAUCGAAUAAAGAUGAAAAAAAACUAAUUUAUAAAGGUUUGUGCUAUUCCUCUUAACAAAGUUAAUCUUUUAAGAUGGUACCUCAAGUUUUAAUAUGGUAUUAGAGUUCAUUAAACUCUAAAAGCUAUUCGAUCCAAUUAAGACUCAAAAAAUGAGCAAAUGUAUUUCAAAAUCGAUCUGCUAAAAAAAGCAACCCUCUUGCAAGGGUAUAUUAAGGGAUAUAAUCCCACAUUUAAUAAAUAUGAAGACAAAGACCAAUUUAUAAAAGUUUAGACUACUUCUCUUAAUAAGGUGAUCUUUUAAUAUAGAACCUCAAAUCUUAACAUGAGUAAGGCAUAGUAAAAAGGGCAGCCCAAAAAAUUUUUAGUCCACCCCAAGUGGAAACUUUAGCUUUCCCUACUCAACCCAUUGUUUCCGGUAUAUAAUAGACAAUUCUUGUAAACAUUUAAAGGUUAUUCAAUAUAAAGAUACAGAUAUGUCGUAUUGGAUGAGCUAGCCCUAAACUGCUUGGCUCGUUGAAAGGCUCUGCACAAGAACCAGCACAUGCGUAGAACGGGCCAGUCACUAGCUGUACCAUCUGAACCGAUAGGCCAGGUUGAUUCUCGUGCAUGGGGAAAAGAAACUAUACAGAGUGGAGUGCUCCUAUAGGGCUAAGCCACAUCAUCUUCUCAGUGAAUUGGGCGACCAUCGACACAUCUAAAAAAAUAUACGGAAUUGAAUUGUUUAGGACUUAUUUUAGUAAGAAUUGUUAAUUAAAUAUGUUUGAUUAAUAUAAUUUUUCAUCUGAAAAAUACUAAAAUUUUGAAUAUUUUUGUGUCUAUUUGACUUUGUUUUUCAUGAAAAUUUUCAAUUAAAGAGAUAAAAUUUGUUAUAGUUGUAGAUAGAAUUUGUUUCCAAUGUCCAAAAAAAAAAAAAAAAAAACUAGAAAAACCCAAUUCCCAAACCAAAGGAAAAUCAAUUCUUUAAAAACCAAGAAAAUAU
rnacentral:lncRNA from 1 species